rnacentral:rRNA from 1 species
GACGAACGCUGGCGGCGUGCUUAACACAUGCAAGUCGAACGGUAAGGCCCUUCGGGGUACACGAGUGGCGAACGGGUGAGUAACACGUGGGUGAUCUGCCCUGCACUUCGGGAUAAGCCUGGGAAACUGGGUCUAAUACCGGAUAGGACUCCUGGCUUCAUGGUUGGGGGUGGAAAGCUUUUGCGGUGUGGGAUGGGCCCGCGGCCUAUCAGCUUGUUGGUGGGGUAAUGGCCUACCAAGGCGACGACGGGUAGCCGGCCUGGGAGGGUGACCGGUCACACUGGGACUGAGAUACGGCCCAGACUCCUACGGGAGGCAGCAGUGGGGAAUAUUGCACAAUGGGCGCAAGCCUGCUGCAGCGACGCCGCGUGAGGGAUGACGGCCUUCGGGUUGUAAACCUCUUUCAGCUAUGACGAAGCGCAAGUGACGGUAGUAGCAGAAGAAGGACCGGCCAACUACGUGCCAGCCGCCGCGGUAA